rnacentral:antisense_RNA from 1 species
AGUUGACGGUCAAGUCCAACGCUCGCCGCAGACAUCUAGUGGACCGGGCGCUCGCGGACGGAAGCGAACAGACCCAGUUGGACCCGUAUGACACGAAGCCGACCCACCUUUGCUGCCAUCUAACUCCGCUGACCUGCCCACCGUUCCCCCACUGUCCGCUGGUUGACCCGGGCAGCGGAGAGAGGAGGGUGUUGUCAAUGGAAAUAUGGAUUCUUCUACAGCAAACAUGUACAUUGAUACCAUGUGGAACAAGGAUAGUGGGAAAACCUCUGAUUGUGAGGACGUAGAACUGAGAAGAGCAUAUUAAACGUGAUUAAAAAAACACUUCUGGAGCAUGUUGUCUUCAAGAAAGUGGUGCCCAGACAGUCAGGAUUGUGUUACAUUUUAAUAGGAAUGGGGAUAUUUGUGAUAUACUGACAAACCAAGACAGGUGACUAUAAAACUGCAAUGUAAAGUGUCAGCUUCUCCUCCUGCCUUUAUAGUAGACAUCUGAGAACCUAACCCCUGUCAGUGUAUUCUUGGGGUUGAAUCUCAAGUGAUCCAUAGGAUCUUAGAUACAGCAGAUGAAAAUGGGCUUUUCUAUCUUCCUAAGUAAACAGCAAUGAAGCUGAGAGAAAGACGAUAUUGCUGGAAGUCAUGAUAAAGUCUAUCUUCUGUGACCAUAUGUUUCCUUAGAGAGUUUUAGACAAUGACCCUCAUCUAAAAAAUUGUGGAAAAGGACUCUCACCAGUCUGUUAAUAUGCAUGUAUAUGAAAGAAAUUACUGGUAAACUUCUAAGGCAGGCAUUGGUGUUACUUUAUCUUUAUUGUGUCUAUGAAAUGAUUGUGUGUGUUUUUUCUUUGAUUAGACAAUGAGAUUCCCAAAUAAAUUUUAUUAAAACCAAAAAAACCUUUA